rnacentral:rRNA from 1 species
GUAGGUGGCAAGCGUUGUCCGGAAUUAUUGGGCGUAAAGCGCGCGCAGGCGGUUCUUUAAGUCUGAUGUGAAAGCCCACGGCUCAACCGUGGAGGGUCAUUGGAAACUGGAGAACUUGAGUACAGAAGAGGAAAGCGGAAUUCCGCGUGUAGCGGUGAAAUGCGUAGAGAUGUGGAGGAACACCAGUGGCGAAGGCGGCUUUCUGGUCUGUAACUGACGCUGAGGCGCGAAAGCGUGGGGAGCAAACAGGGAUUAGAUACCCUGGUAGUCCACGCCGUAAACGAUGAGUGCUAAGUGUUAGGGGGUUUCCGCCCCCUUAGUGCUGCAGCUAACGCAUUAAGCACUCCGCCUGGGGAGUACGGCCGCAAGGCUG